UACUCCUACGGGAGGCAGCAGUGGGGAAUUUUGGACAAUGGGCGAAAGCCUGAUCCAGCAAUGCCGCGUGUGUGAAGAAGGCCUUCGGGUUGUAAAGCACUUUUGUCCGGAAAGAAAUCCUUGGCUCUAAUACAGUCGGGGGAUGACGGUACCGGAAGAAUAAGCGCCGGCUAACUACGUGCCAGCAGCCGCGGUAAUACGUAGGGUGCAAGCGUUAAUCGGAAUUACUGGGCGUAAAGCGUGCGCAGGCGGUUUGCUAAGACCGAUGUGAAAUCCCCGGGCUCAACCUGGGAACUGCAUUGGUGACUGGCAGGCUAGAGUAUGGCAGAGGGGGGUAGAAUUCCACGUGUAGCAGUGAAAUGCGUAGAGAUGUGGAGGAAUACCGAUGGCGAAGGCAGCCCCCUGGGCCAAUACUGACGCUCAUGCACGAAAGCGUGGGGAGCAAACAGGAUUAGAUACCCUGGUAGUCCACGCCCUAAACGAUGUCAACUGGUUGUUGGGGAUUCAUUUCCUUAGUAACGUAGCUAACGCGUGAAGUUGACCGCCUGGGGAGUACGGUCGCAAGAUUAAAACUCAAAGGAAUUGACGGA
rnacentral:rRNA from 1 species